AAUGAACGCUGGCGGCAGGCCUAACACAUGCAAGUCGAACGCGUGGCGGACGGGUGAGUAAUGUCGGGGAACCAGCACGAAGGCGGGGGUUAAUUACUGGAAACGGUACCAAAACACGAAAACCCUCGGCUGUGACCAGAUUGGUUUGGCCAGUAGGUGGGGUAACGGCUCACCUCGGACACGAGCCCUAGAGGGUCUGAGAGGAUGACCAGCCACACUGGAACUGAGACACGGUCCAGACUCCUACGGGAGGCAGCAGUAGGGAAUAUUUCGCAAUGGGCGCAAGCCUGAUGCAGCCAUGCCGCGUGAGUGAAGAAGGCCUUCGGGUUGUAAAGUACUUUCAGCGGGGAAGCGGUACUCACUGAAAAAGCACCGGCUAACUCCGUGCCAGCAGCCGCGGUAAUAC
rnacentral:rRNA from 1 species